AUUGUACUCCCUCCGUUCGGAAUUACUUGUCUUGGAUAUGGAUGUAUCUAGAACUAAAAUACAUCUAGAUACAUCCAUUUCCGCGACAAGUAAUUCCGAACGGAGGGAGUACCAU
rnacentral:pre_miRNA from 1 species